GGUCCUAUAGUGUAGUGGUUAUCACUUCGGAUUCUGAUUCCGACAACCUGGGUUCGAGUCCCAGUAGGACCU
rnacentral:tRNA from 1 species